CUCUGAUGUUCAAGUCUAUGUUGGUUCCAGACUCUGUUUUAUUUAACCUGUUUGUUUUCUUUCUAAAAACAUAUUCUGUAUUCCCUUCCAAGCAUGGAGCUAACUUCACAGGAAUUUGGGAAAAUUCUGAUAAUUCCAGCCCAUACACAGAAUGGCCAGGACAAGAAAGACGCUGUUCUCUGAGGAAUUGUAUCAAGAACACAAGUUGUUUAAGUCCGCAUGCACGUGUUGAAAGUUUACAAUGUGCCAGACUGGAGUUAAGUGUUGGUGGGAGCAAGACCACAGAGGCCGAAUGCCAUUUUCAUCACAUCCUGCCAAGGUGAGAAGUCUGACUCUGACCAUCGAUCAUCAUUUACUUAAGACCUCCUGGCCUCAAGUGAUCUGCCCAACUCAGCCUCCCAAAGUGCUGGGAUUACAGGCGUGAACCACUAUGCCUGACCUGAAUUUUAGCUGAGUUUCUAUGAAAGGGUUGGUUUUGUCUUCUUGGUACUUUUGACACAAAGCUCAUUUCCUUCCUUUGCCACUUCCUUUGCUGCUUUAUCACCUCCAUCUUUCUUUAGCCUCCACAGCUGCCAGCCAUUGCUAACAUAAGUAAGGGGAGAAGCCUUAGCAACUUCAUUAGGCAUUAUGAGGUGGGAGGGCACA